rnacentral:rRNA from 1 species
GGCUGCCUACGGGGGGCAGCAGUGGGGGAUAUUGGACAAUGGGGGAAACCCUGAUCCAGCGAUGCCGCGUGAGGGAAGAAGGUUUUCGGAUUGUAAACCUCUGUGGAGGGGGACGAUAAUGACGGUACCCCUUUAGGAAGCCCCGGCUAACUACGUGCCAGCAGCCGCGGUAAUACGUAGGGGGCGAGCGUUAUCCGGAUUCAUUGGGCGUAAAGCGCGCGUAGGCGGCCCGCUAAGCGGGACCUCUAACCUGGGGGCUCAACCUCCAGCCGGGUCCCGAACUGGCGAGCUCGAGUGCGGUAGGG